rnacentral:misc_RNA from 1 species
GGCGAACCGGAUGUCACCGAUGCUUUCCCGGAGGAUCCGACGGAAAGCGCCGACAGCGACGGUGACGGGACGGGUGACAACGCAGACACGGAUGAUGACGAGGACCUCGUCCUCGAUGUGACCGACGAGUG